AGAUGGCGACCGGCGCACGGGUGAGUAACACGUAUCUAACCUGCCGAUAACUCGGGGAUAGCCUUUCGAAAGAAAGAUUAAUACCCGAUGGCAUAAUAGAACCGCAUGGUUUGAUUAUUAAAGAAUUUCGGUUAUCGAUGGGGAUGCGUUCCAUUAGGCAGUUGGUGGGGUAACGGCCCACCAAACCUUCGAUGGAUAGGGGUUCUGAGAGGAAGGUCCCCCACAUUGGAACUGAGACACGGUCCAA
rnacentral:rRNA from 1 species